AAGCCACAUUGUGCAAAUGUCUAAAGUUUUAGGGGAGCAAAUUGGUGGCGGGCAAUCUGUCUGGCCUGUUGCCAUCCAUGGCCAUUAUGCUGAUGCAGGAGAUUCUGCUGCUUUACUAUCAGGGGCUCUAAAUGUCCCCAUGUUAUUCACUGGUCAUUCUCUUGGUAGAGAUAAGCUAGAGCAACUCAUGAAACAAGGGCGCCAAACAAGGGAAGAAAUAAAUGCAACAUACAAAAUAAUGCGACGAAUUGAGGCCGAAGAAAUAUCUCUUGAUUCUUCUGAAAUAAUUAUCACUAGCACUAAACAGGAAAUUGAAGAGCAAUGGCAA
rnacentral:misc_RNA from 1 species